UAGGGCAGAUACCCGGCUUUCGGAGUUUGCCUCUGAGGAAAGUCCGCCCACUAUAAAAGCUGCACGCAAAAGCGUGGCCUGGAAACAGGCGGCAACCGCUCAGAAACGGCACGCCCAAGGCCAAGGAUGAUGCAUGCGAAGCAUCUGGCGACAGGUGCGAGCCAACCUGCAGACGUUCCCUUGGAUUCGGUGAAACGGCGAGCCCCGGCGGUGCAAGUCCGUUUGGACGCAUAGUAGAAUGCCGGGAAGGGCUGUUCGAAAGAAGCCCUACAGAAGGCGGCUUAUUUCUGCCCUA
rnacentral:RNase_P_RNA from 1 species